ACUUAAAUAGCUCAAGCUAGAGCAAGAUAUUGAAGAUAUCUCGGUGAUAAAAAGUCUUUAAGUA
rnacentral:tRNA from 2 species